rnacentral:rRNA from 1 species
ACUCCUACGGGAGGCAGCAGUGGGGAAUAUUGCACACUGGGCGCAAGCCUGAUGCAGCGACGCCGCGUGGGGGAUGAAGGCCUUCGGGUUGUAAACUCCUUUCGCUAGGGACGAAGCUUUUUUGUGACGGUACCUAGAUAAGAAGCACCGGCUAACUACGUGCCAGCAGCCGCGGUAAUACGUAGGGUGCGAGCGUUGUCCGGAAUUACUGGGCGUAAAGGGCUCGUAGGUGGUUUGUCGCGUCGUCUGUGAAAUUCUGGGGCUUAACUCCGGGCGUGCAGGCGAUACGGGCAUAACUUGAGUGCUGUAGGGGUAACUGGAAUUCCUGGUGUAGCGGUGAAAUGCGCAGAUAUCAGGAGGAACACCGAUGGCGAAGGCAGGUUACUGGGCAGUUACUGACGCUGAGGAGCGAAAGCAUGGGUAGCGAACAGGAUUAGAAACCCUGGUAGUCCC